UACGUAGGGUGCAAGCGUUGCCCGGAUUUAUUGGGCGUAAAGGGCGUGUAGGCGGACCGGCGCGUCCCGUGUGAAAGCCCCCCUGGCUCAACUGGGGGGAGGUCAUGGGAAACGGUCGGACUGGAGCCCGGUAGGGGGCCAUGGAAUUCCCGGUGUAGUGGUGUGAAUGCGUAGAGAUUAGGAAGAACACCAGUGGCGAAGGCGACUUACUGGACUGUAACUGACGCUGAGGCAUGAAAGCGUGGGGAGCAAACAGG
rnacentral:rRNA from 1 species